GAGAGAGAGAUGUUCAUGAACACUGUCACAGCUUUUCAUUGCUAACAGAGAGAGUGCAGCAAGGAUCAAGGCACAAAUAUGUCUCCGUUCACCGUGAAGGACGACAUCUUGGCUCACCUCCUACAACGCUCUGUGCCAGGGGACAGGAGCAGUGGAUUGGCUGAUCUCAUGACUUGGCUAAGUCUUUCUUUCUCUCUCUCUCUCUCUCUCACACACACACACACACACACACACACACACACACACACACACACACACACACACACACACACACACACACACACACACACACAAACAUGCCCUGGAAAUCUCAGCGAGGAGUGGUGCUAAAGAGGAUAAAUCACAUGUGCAGGGCAACUUAACCUUCUUGUGGAAGAUGACCAGUAUUAAUUUCAUCUUAAAAUCAGUGUUGAAAAAUAGUCAAUGACAGCCAUUUCCAAAGGAACCAUUGUAAACAAAACAACCAAAUGACCCACAAAUAUCCUUACCUAAUUCCAAGCAACUCUAGAAUUUUAUAACUUAAGUUCAGUAUUCAUUCUCCUUUUAGCUCCAAGUUUGGUCUCCAUCAGCUCCAGAGGGAAAUAUCUUGCUCUCUGGCUUCUGAAUGCUGCGUAUGUUCAGUAGCUAGUCGGGAACUUUGGUUACAACUGGUUCGUCUGAGCUUUUGUGCUGGAAAUGGCUACCUGCUAUGGCUGGAAAGGGCUGACAACAAUGAAGCUGGGGCCCAACUAAAUUAGCUUGUAUAACUUGUAUAACCUACCAGUGGACCAGUGUAAUCAACCCUGGUCUCCGCAGUUUGGUUCCCCAUAGCAGUACCUCUGACUUGGUGGUGCAUUCUAGUGACCUGGCCUUUGUUCCUGCAUUGGAAACGCCUAGUGCUUGGUCCAGGUGCUUGCACAGCAGGGGGUGGAAUUGUGAAAAGUUGUGUGUCAUAGAGAUAACACAUGUCGUAGCCUCCUACAGGCCACAAGCCAUUCAGUAGAUUUGGCAGUGUCAAGGGCUGAAGUGUGUGAAUAGUUGACAUUCAAAACAGGCAAAAAUGAAAUCAAACUGGUAAAAACCGAAAGGAAAAACUGAAGGAAAUCUGUCUGAUUAAAGAGAUGAUCGAGCAAAGAACUGGUAAAUGGGAAGAGCACUGAGAAGUGUGUGUGUGUGUGUGUGUGGUCAUGAGGUGGUAUUCGCAAAGGCUCUGUAAUGGGGUUACAAGGGUUUUUAGAAGUUGGCCAGAUGGGUUUGGACCACAGAACGAACAGCAGCUGGUUGUCUGUAGCCACAGAAGGUGUUCGGAUCAAAUGAUGCAGCCUGUGGAGCAUCUGGUUACAGCAGACAUUUAAACUCAGCAUUUCUUUGAACCAACAAGCUGUAGAGAUUCAAUGAUUUACGUUGUUGGUAGAUAAUAUAACCGUUACGGCUAUUCUUGCAUUUAGGUUGGGCUAAUGUUGAGAGGAAGUGCUGCCUAAGAGCCUCCGCUCAGGAAACAAAAACCCACAGUGCACAAAUCCCUAAAAAAAAAAAGUUCAUGCAAGUUAAUAUUUUGAAGGGAUAUUGUCUCUGUCAGCCUGUGUUUGAAACAGCCUCAUUAUUUUUCACAUCAGUGUCUGAUCUUUGACAAAUGAACGAAUGAAGCGGAACAAGUUUUUCAAACUUCUUAAAAUCACUUUAUGCACAUUAAAUCAGCAUGACAUCAGUGAGGCCUCUGUGGUCGCUCAUUGAAACUGGGAAAAGUUAAAGAGCUACAUUUCUACGUCUUGUAUUUGGCAGUGUAAGCUACUUUAAACUGAGUCGGGAAAAAUCAGAUAGAAUUAUUCAUGUAGAAGUUUCCUCACACUGGCAAGAUCGUCUUUCAAAAACUUCAAGACCCCUGUUUCACAGUGAAGUCAGAGACACGAUGUUGUACCAGUAGUUUCUGGUAUAUACAGUACUCUAUCUGUCACCGUCAGACAACUACCACUUGUAGCCAGCAGGGAAAACAUCACAUGAGCUCAAAGCAAUAGAAACAUGCAAACACUCACACAAACAGAAAGUCCCCACAAACACGAGCUAUUGUAUGCAACACACAAUAUCUCAUGUCCUGAGGGAUAUAGGCUUCAUUGUAAUUCCCCUGAUGAAGCAGGAGGCCUAUAACUUAGCCUUGUUUGUCUCUACCCCCCCUCACCUCUCGUCUGCUCAUGGUUGAGGUCUCACUUCACUACACCCUAAGGCUCAUUCUCAACAUUCCUAACUCGCCUUCUCAUUUUCUACUUAAUCUUGUUCCGAUGUAGUCAUUUUAAAACCACAAACCUCAUGUGCUGGUUAUGCUUGUUAUGAGGUAGUGGGGGGGAGAUGCUGCUCUGACACAACACAACAUUUUCCACUGUAACGUCAACUCUUGUUGCUUCUAUUGCAGUUUGCCAUACCUGCCACACCUGUCGCAGAAGCCACGGAGCUUAAAAACACACUAUUUUUAGGUGAUUACUGCUUCACUGUGAUAGGUCGUACACACACAGAGGGAGAAAACAAAGGAGAGGAGUGGUAGAGAAGAUGACACACAACAAAGGUCUUGAACCAGACAGUGUGAUAUGCCUCUUAUAGCUCGCUGUGCCCCCAGGGAACCCAAGAAAGGCAAUUUCCCAUGAGCUGGUUGCUGGUUGCUUCAGCAUGUGCCGCGGUUGCACCAUGCAGAAUACGAUCUGCGGUUCUUAAUAUUUCCGGCCAGGUCUACCAGCUUAGCAUUCAAAUAGCACCUAUUCUCAUUAAGUGGCAUGUAUUUGUGGUGUGCAUCAUCCAAGAGGUUAAAUUCACAUCUACGAAGCUGCAGGACAAGAAUAGAUGACAACUAGACAGAAAGCCGACUGGCACAAUAAACAGCACAGUAAAUCUACCAGGCUGCCAACUGUCUGAAUGUGUAUGUCUGUGUGUGUGUGUAUGCAUCACCCCAGGGAUGUAAGUUAAUGGUCAAAACAGAGGUGGCAGCUAACUUACUAUCUGUCUGCAUUCCUGAACCACAUUAAAUAACGAGACACCACAAUACAAAUACCAAUGCAAACACAUUCCACGCCACAGAGAAUAACUGGGGCGGCAAACAUGUUCUUAUAGUGGCGUCUCAUUUAAAUCUCGACCAGCGUGCAUUCUUACAUCGCUUGGUGCUGACACAUCACCUCUUCUGACUUGUCAACUCUACACUACGUCUGACCCUAACUCUAUUUUACAUUGAGUGGGAAUGUAAUGAUAUCAAUGAAGAGACCAUGAAGAAAAGUUUUAUUCUUAAACUGGAAAAGCCAGACAAAAAGCACUUUGAUUAGUUUCAUGCUUCUUCUUCUCUGCUCUAAAUAUCCGUCUUACCUCUCUGAGUUAUGACGUCUUCGUUACUCACAAACCACUGUUAGUCUGAUUAAUAACAACUGUGAGAGUUUUGAUUAGUUGUCAUAUUAAAGUGUGCAUUGCAUUGUGCAACUAGAGACACCAAAGAGUUUAGUGUUGCUACAGUUAGCUCUCAGGAUGCAUUUUUCUGUUACGAGACAGCAAUGAAUAUAGAAGAACAGAGAGACCAGUACCUCCAAAGUGUACCUGUCAUGUCUUGUUUUAUUUGUACACAGAGUAUAAGGAUUUACAGCUUUGCACAUCAGUCAGUCUGUUUGCUUUCAGUCUUUGUGCUAAGCUCUGCUAAUCGAUGGCUCCUUUUUGUGACCAUGUUUUGUAGGAUUCCUUAUGCAAACUCUAGGGGAAGAACCUAAAUGUUCUUUUGCUCACUCAUCAUCCAGCAGCAGGUUGUACAUCACAUUUCAUAAUCUCACAUUCACCUACUUUUUGUUCGUUUAUCAUCAAGUUUAUAGAUUUUUCAGCAGCCGCUCAACUCUGCUUUUCCUCUGACGUACGCAGCUGUGGCUGGAUGUAUGAGACCUAAUCAUGCCAUAACAUAUAGAGUGCUGAGAUGAGAAAUGAGCCUAGCUAUUUGCUUGCUGACUCUCCUCCCUCAUUAGUUCUUAUAGUGCAGACUUGUGGUAUCAAUCUUUUCAUCUAACACUUGACAAGAAGGUGAAAACGCCUGUUCCCUCAAAUGUUGAACUUUUCCUUCAAGCAAUAGACAAAGAUGAUUAGCACAGUAGCUCUCCAUCAUGUGAAUGGGUACAGCUGCUUGAUUUUAUACUAAAUAUGUUAACAAAAUCAAAGAGGACUUCAGAGAGUGUGGAUUUAGUCCACAAUCAGUGCAAUAUUCAGUAAACUAAAGUCUAUCAGUGUUGAAAUGCCAGUUCCAAAUUCAGAUGUUUUAAACAUACCCAUACAUCUAGAUUCUCCUUCAAACCUGAAAUUGUGUUUCACAUAGUUUAAUAGUUUUUAGACAGACUUGUACAUGCUGAUGUUUCAACUGGACAGCCUCAGGCGUUUAAUGUACAUCUCAUAUGGACUGGUAUUCCCCUAUAGCUGUGCUCGGACGUGCUGACAACAUGACCUGGCGAUCUCAAGGAUGCAAUAUGGAUAGGUCACAGUGCGUGGACAACGCUGCCAUUCAGCCAGCCAGCAGCCGGCAGGCCUGACAGAUAUCCAGCAGGUCAAACAGUCAGUCAGCCCAUAUGUCAGCAAGGGACUGAAUCUGAAUCAGAAUGUACAAAGUCAUGUGCGCCUUCUGUGAACUGAGAUGUAGCAAUUUGCUAUGUGAACAGUGGUUGUUUGAUUAUUCCUUUGCUCGUUCAUCAGUUCAUUCGCUUAUUGCAUCCUAGACCCUAGAAGAACUGGUUGACUGUGCAAACUCAGAAUUUCAUCCCAUGUAGCCAGUUUUUAAUUUGUUAAACCAAAGCAGGGCAGAAGUGAUGUUCUAAUUAUUUAGCCAUGUGCUAAAAUAAAAUAAUUUUAGCAAAAGGUCAAUUACUUCAGCUUAUGAAUGAUACACUUACAGAAGCGAGACAAACAGCCAGAUUUUAUUCUGUGAAAUCACUGCAAACAAUUAAAGCAAGAAUCAAAAUAUUGUGAAUUAAGCCACUGCAGGUCUUAAUUACUUCUGCUCAUCUUGCUAAAGGCUAAAAUCUGGGUUGGGCUGCCCUAACUCCACAGAGUUUGAUGCAUAAAAAACCCAUAAGGCUGGUGUCAGACACUGAAAAACUGAACUUCAUAUAACACCCACACUUAGUUGGUUAUUAACCCCGUCAGCCUGUUAGAAAGUCAUGCAGGCAAACUGCAGAUAGACAAGCAUCCACCUACGCAGCCCACUCAGCCAGUCAGGAGUGCAUCAAGACUGAGGCCAUUGUCUUGAUGCACUCCGGCCUGGGCUGAGAUGAGACGGAGGCUGGAAUGCAUGUAGAGGCGAGAGUCAAGUCAGACUGCUCUCACUCUGCACAAGAAUCCUUUAUUCUUAGGCAGACAUGAGAGGAAGGCACAGUCGUCAUUAGACCGAUGGAAGGAGUGGGUGCGAAGAGACUGAUAACCAGCUGUCAAGAGAAAAUGAGUGAAGCUGCAGACUUCAAAAACAGCAAGGGACAUCUCUGAAGCACAGUUCGGCUCAACAUGUUUUCUGUUGGAUUGAAAUUCAGGAAAUGGAAAUUCAAAAACCAGACUACAUUUACGUACUUUCUUUUCAUUUCCAAUCUAUAAAAACUAAAAGAGAAUAGCUUUUCAUUAUAUUCUAAUUUGCAAAUUUUAAAUGUAACAUUUCAAAUCAGGCAAAUUGGAACUGAACUGCCAACAGAGACACUUCAAGUCUCUCUGAGUCAGAUUCACACUCUGUCUCACUGACUUGCAGCCUCUUCAUCUCAUUCUUUCAUGUGUGUCAGUGUGCAGGCAUAUCUUAACUUUGAGGAUACUAUCACAGGAAUCCUUCUGGCCCCAGGCGGGAUCUGACGGAGAAGCUGAAACGUAGACAGAACAGACUCGCUCGACAGCGCAAUGAAUGAGCUGGAGUGAUAGAGGGAGAUGAAGCAAGCCGAGAAGUGAUUCUGCCAUGAAAAAAAAAAAGAUGAAAAUGGGGGAGAAUGGGAGCUGAGAUGUAGAGGCCCACGCUGAAAAGAGUUCUUAUCUCUGUCAGUGUGAUGGGGAGCGCUGUCUCACUGUUGCAUGUAGAGACUGAAGGAGCCAUUCUUGUACAAACCCCAUGGAACCAAAUGGAAAAGUAGCGAUAUUUGAUUUGCUGUAUGUUGCAUUAAACUUUCCAGAUUAAUUUGGAUACCUUGGUUUGAUCAGCAUAAAUAAAUGAGACUGUGGUCCAAAUAAUUACUGUCAUGACAGGCAGCAUUGCUCAUGCUAAUGAUUCUCAAAAUAGAACCCACUGCUUUUUCUUAUAAACAGGAUGUUGGAUCUAUUUAUGCUGAAAGUGUAGUGCAUCUUCCUGUUUUGUGUCUUCAGGCUAUCUUGUCUUGUGCUAUGUAGCAGUAGAUUUAAUUACAAUGUGAAAUGACGAGAAUGGCAUUAGAUGACAUGCUUUCAUUUCCAGCGUCUCCACAUCUAUGAAUUAAUGGGGAAUUCAUGUCAAAAUGCUAAAUGUGGCACCUAAAUAUAGUUAGAUGAGAAGAUCAACGCCACUCUCAUGUCUGUGUGUGUUAGGUAUUUUGGAGCAAGAAGGUAAUUAGGUGAUCAAGUUAGCGUAGAGACUGGAAGCAGCGUCAUGUAUACACUGUCUGUUAAAUCCACACACAAACAGAAAUGUACAAAUGACACUUUGCAGUUUCAUGGGAAGUUAUAACCAUUUUGAGGGAGAUGACAAUGACUUCCCGGAGUCCACAAAUUUUCAUUUUUAUAUUUCUUUUUCUGUACAAAUUAAACAAGCAGGAUACAUCAUGUUAAUUAGAGAGCUUUAGAGGAGCCGGUUCUCUCCCGAGGUUUCCUCAGUUUGUACAGAGACAGGCUAACUGUUUUCCGCCUCUUCUAAUCUUUAUGAAACUAAAUUCACCAAAGCUAUAACCACAUCCUGGCUCCAGCUCUAUACUUACCACACAGACAAGAGAGUGGGACUGAUCUAUUCAUCCAACUAUGAGCAAGAACAGUUCCCAAAAUAUCUAACCUUUAAAUACAGAUUGGUGGAAAAUUAAUGCAAAACCCAACGUGAAGUGUGAGCCUCAUUGCUUCCCGUAUCAUAGGUUCUCCGAGUAUCCGAGCUGUACAGGAGGGAUGAACAACCCUCUACCAAGAGUUUCUCUCGUUUAAAGAAUGCUGUCUAACACAUUACAUCAAAUUCUCCCACAGGUGUUCAGUUGGGUCGAGACAUGGAGGCUGUGAAGGUCAUCAGCAACACUUUGACGAAGCCAUAUUGAAGCACUGAUGCUUUCAAGCCUGGGUGGAGGCCGCUGUACUUCUCAUAAUUACACUCAUCUUUUCAGUUUCUCCUUUAAUUUGUAUGUGUAAUCUGUAUGUCCUGUCAGGACAGAUUUCAUUCUGGAUGCAAAUGAUUUGUGCCCAUUCUUAAAUAUCCAGUAUAAACAGGGAUUUUUUCCCCUAAAGCCAUUUAACAGCAAUGGGAUGUAGGAAUCCACCUGGUUAAUAAAAGUUUUUAAUUUCCCCACAGAUGCUUUCACACACACUAACACACAUUCUCCAUUUGGCAUCUGUUUGUUUUCUGUUAGUUAGUAGCCUGCCUCAUCAUUCCUGUUCCAGCUGCCUGGAAAACAUGACGGCAUCUCCAGCCUCUUCAGGACCAGGGGCUCCCCUCCUGCUGUGUGGCCCACUACUGCUGCCUUUCACUGGACUCCUCAGCUCCAGAUGUCCCCACCCUGUUGGAGGCAGAGUUUCUCCAGAUGAACUUGUUAUGGUCCCUGUGGAGAGUUGUGUUUAAUCAAACUUGGCACACACAACCAAGUCAAGGUAGACUGCUGUGUGCACUGUGGUUAAUGGGAAAUGGAGGCAACAGGAGCACAUCACUGCACAGCACAGCGCUACACAUCAAGAAUUGAUGGAGGAUGCAAUAAAAGUUUAGAGACAGUAACAUAAAGUCAGGAGAGCAUGAUGACCAGAUUCAGCUGCUGUGGAGACGGGGUCAGAACUUUCUCUCAAGAAAAGAAGACGGACUGAUUGUGGAGGUUUUGAGGAGACAUUUCCGGAGCAACUGGACCACCCCACAAAUCCACAAUAACAACAUAUGUGUACAGUGUCUGGACUUCUCAUUGUUUUUGGUGUUUACAGAUUAUUGCGUACAGUACAUGUGCAGAGUUGUGUUUUCUGCUGCGGGGAGACACUGACUGCUGCAAUUAACAAUAAACAUCUCAGACAUCUCAGAAAAUUCUCCUGGUUUUAGAGAAUCGAGAAGUGAAAAUGUCGGGGAAAUUCAAAUUUGCAAAUUUAAAAAACAAAAUUGGAAUAUGCUUAGUCUUAAGUAUCUUUCAUCAUGCACCACAUGAUCUGCUCUGUCAGUACUUACAAGCAUGUGUGUUUUUAAGACAUCCAUGCACCUGUGUCUGUGCAUGUUCAUUUGUGCAUUCUUUGCAUGUUUGUGUUUCCAGACGGAAUUUGUGAGUACGUCCAGGUGUUAUUUGAGUCCAACUGGGCUGAGUGGACUACAGAUUUCUGCACAAGGUCAAGUACAAACUGAUUUGAUCUGUGAUUUUACACAUGUGCAACCUGAGUAAAAGUCUGAGUUUAGACUUGAAAAUGAUCUUUGGCUGAAUCACAGUAAUUACAUCAAACAGUAACCACUGACCUGCUCAUCUGAGGAAUGACACAGAAACAUGAUGUUUAGGUGAUGAACCAGGACUGUUUGAACUGUUCAGUUUUUAUAUUUUCAGAUUUUCAUGUCCUGUGUUCUGUUUUUUUUGUUUGUUUUAUGUUCUUUGUGAUUUGAAGUGGGUUCACAUUUAAAGUUAGUCACUGGUAAAAUUCUUGCUUGCUACUUCAAAUGCCCAACUUAGAUUUCUGGGGAAUGCAGCCUUUUCAACAUAAAUGAUCUUAAAGUAGGAAAACAGGUCUGGUAGAUAAAUGAAGAUGGUAUCAUUGGGUGGUGGAGACAGAAAAACUGCACCAGGACCCAUGAUAGUUUAAAUAGGCCUGCAUACUCGGCAGGACUUUCACAUUAGAGAGAAGACAGACUGGGUAAAUAGCAUCGGCACUGAUAGUUCACUGAAUCUCAGCUGAUUGACAGAAUGAUCAGUGAAAGACCCUCAGCUGAAUUGCAUUCAGUGCACUUCUAUGCCCUACAUUUACUUUGUUUUCAAUCUUAGUCAAAGGAUAUGGUCACGUGCUAUAAGUCUGUACAGUCUAGGUGUUUUUGUGUUGUGCGUUUAAAUGGUUUAACUGAACUGAUGAACCCUCAUCUGCUCAAUUCCUAUUUUUCUUUGCUGUAUCCUAUUAUCUGCAGCCUCGGAUCACCCCCAGCACUCAUUAAAGUUUCAUCUAAUCUAAUCAGCUAAUCUAAGAACAAGGUCAAUGGAGGAUCAUCUCCGCUGAACUGGAUGUUGCUGGAUCCCCCUGUGAGGCACACUCCCUGGAGGACCAGUGGAAGAGCAGCACAGGAGAGGAAAGGAGGGUGGGGGUGCUUUUAACACUGAUUAGCUGCGUCUGCCAACCCCCCCAACCCUGAUGAUGAGGAGGUGUCCCACCUCAGCCUGUUUUCACGUAGCUGGAGGCCUAACAGAGCAGCAGGGUGACGUAUCUGCUUGGUCUGUCAGCAUACAAGCUGCAGUAUGAUGAAACGCAACUGCUACUGCUUGAGAAUAAGGGGUGGAAUCC